rnacentral:rRNA from 1 species
GAGUUUGAUCGUGGCUCAGGAUGAACGCUAGCUACAGGCUUAACACAUGCAAGUCGAGGGGCAUCGGGAAGAAAGCUUGCUUUCUUUGCCGGCGACCGGCGCACGGGUGAGUAACACGUAUCCAACCUGCCCUUUACUCGGGGAUAGCCUUUCGAAAGAAAGAUUAAUACAAGAUGGCAUCAUGAGUCCGCAUGUUCACAUGAUUAAAGGUAUUCCGGUAGACGAUGGGGAUGCGUUCCAUUAGAUAGUAGGCGGGUAACGCCCACCUAGUCUUCGAUGGAUAGGGGUUCU